CUUCCUGCUCCCCAGGCAGUGGUGUCUCUGUGAAGGAUUGGAAGCAACAGUGGGUAGUCUGAGCUUGUCCUUGACAGGGCAGUCUGUAAUGCAGCCCUUGGAGGUACAAACACCAGUAGCUCCAGCAGCGAUGGCGUGAGGAUAUUGUCUGUGUGCCCGGCACUGGAGAGAGCAUUAAUGGGAAACUGCGUCCACUUCUCUCACCCACCAUUCAAAAAGGAUAUUGGCAAGCUGAAACAGGUUCAGAGAAGAGCUAUGAGGACAAUUAGAAAGCUGGAAAAUAAUUAUUAUGGGCAGAAAAUCCUGAAUCUAGGAGCUAGUAUCUGUCUCAUCAAAUGAAAGCUAAAGGCCACACUUAAAUGAGAAUUAAGAUGGGGGAGUGCUGCCCAGGAGUCAUCCCUGCUGGCCUCAGGAGCUAUGCAUCUCAGAAAACUACCAGCAGUAUCUCAAACAAUAUGUGUCCUCAUUCAUGAGAGAGUAAGGGAAACUGCAGAUGAUCUGAAUGUAUAAGAAGCUGCCAUGGAGGCAAUAGAAAAGAAGAGACAAAAAGGCUGUAGAGGAUACAACAUGCACAUAGAAUAACUGUGAGAUUUGCAGAGAAAAUACGUAAAUUACCUCAUUGAGGCAGAGGGAAAGAUGGAAAUAAUCCAAAGGAAGGGAGAACUCUACAGAGCAGUUAGGCUGCAAGGUAAGUGACAUGAGCCUGUGGUGUGAUAUAGAGGUUUUAAUACUUGGCAAUAGCUCGGGAUUUCAGGUGUAGAAACACAAGCUGAGGGGCUAGGCUCUACCUCUAGGAGGUCUGCUGCACAUUCCCAGGCACAGCAUCUGCUUUUCUCUUCUGCUUUCCUGGGUACAGAGAUACUUCUAUCACGUCAUCAGCCCUGUGAGCUGAAAUAGCAGCAAUACAAGGCACACUUGGAGAGACUGAAAUGGGUCUCAUAGGGCUACUCUCACCCAGACGUGGGUCAAAAGACAUUUGGAUCAGAAUUUAGCUAGGGUAUUCUGGUAUUUCACUGGCUUUAUCUGAGCUGACCUUUGAAGUGAUUGUAUGAAAACUGAUGAGGAUUUGUCUGAGACAUGUUGCUAGAAGUUUGGGGCUGAAACUGGGGGAAAAUGAGCCCAGAAGUGACCUGCAAACCUGGGUGUUGCUUGGCUGCCAGACAGGGGAUUCCUCUAGAAAACUUCUAGUGAUAUUUGUACCAGCCUUGAUGAAGCACCAGUAAAAUGUGCAAUAAAGGAAAUCUUUCAGAUGCAGGGAGAUGGAUUGGAUGACCUACUAGGCUUAUUCCAUCUUUAACUUGUGAUGACUUUAUGAAAGCACUUUGUCAGCUCCUCACUAACUACUGUGUACUUAGCUCUGAUCAGUCCUGUCAGAUUGCCGUUUGGGAAGUUAGAUUUAGCUAUAAAUUCCUGUCUGAGUCUCUCUGAAAUCCAAAAAUAGAAUAGUUGAGAAUGUAUGAGCUGAGUUAUGGAUCAAAUGUGUCACUGCAGGAACCAAGGACAAAAUGUGUGACAUUAAACUGAUGUCAAAGAAAAAGCCUCUACUUGACUAUUUCUCUGCUCGUGGAGUACAUUUUUUCAAGCACAGAGCUCUGUCAAGACAUUAGCUAAUUAAUCCUGACAGGAUGUCAGUAGAUCAUUAUUUACACCUCCAUUUUCAGACAGAAGAAGCAAGUUUAGAGAAUUCUUCCAUGUUAAAACUGGAACGAGGAGCACGAACAUCUUGCCUGUUGCCCCAUGCUGAAGUCUCCAGUCCAUACUGCCACCUAAUGCCUGUCUAAUAUAUGUGAGGAAGUGCAGCAGGUGCUUUGUUAGGAAAAUGAAUGAAGUAGAUAUCUUCUAACUAUUUACAA